rnacentral:rRNA from 1 species
CAGUAGCCGCGGUAAUACAGAGGGUGCGAGCGUUAAUCGGAUUUACUGGGCGUAAAGCGUGCGUAGGCGGCUUUUUAAGUCGGAUGUGAAAUCCCUGAGCUUAACUUAGGAAUUGCAUUCGAUACUGGGAAGCUAGAGUAUGGGAGAGGAUGGUAGAAUUCCAGGUGUAGCGGUGAAAUGCGUAGAGAUCUGGAGGAGUACCGAUGGCGAAGGCAGCCAUCUGGCCUAAUACUGACGCUGAGGUACGAAAGCAUGGGGAGCAAACAGGAUUAGAUACCCCCGUAGUCCCUGUCUCUUAUAC